rnacentral:rRNA from 1 species
UCAAGUUAUUAAGGGUGCAGGGCGGAUGCCUUGGCACUAGGAGCCGAUGAAGGACGUGAUAAGCUGCGAUAAGCUUCGGGGAGUUGCACGUAAACUUUGAUCCGAAGAUUUCCGAAUGAGGAAACUCACUUAGAGUAAUGUCUAAGUAUCAUUAAGUGAAUACAUAGCUUAAUGAGGGGAACUCAGGGAACUGAAACAUCUAAGUACCUGAAGGAAGAGAAAGAAAUUCGAUUCCGUAAGUAGCGGCGAGCGAACGCGGAUUAGCCCAAACCAAUAAAGUUUUCUUUAUUGGGGUUGCGGACAUAUCAUAACGAAGAGGUAUCGUAAUUGAAGAGGUUUGGAAAGACCCACCACAGAAGGUAAUAGUCCUGUAUGUUAAACGAGAAGACUUCAGAUAUGAUCCAGAGUACCACGGGACACGUGAAACCCUGUGGGAAGCAGGAGGGACCACCCUCCAAGGCUAAAUACUACCUAGUGACCGAUAGCGUAUAGUACCGUGAGGGAAAGGUGAAAAGAACCCCGGGAGGGGAGUGAAAUAGAACCUGAAACCCUGCACUUACAAGCUGUGGAAGCACAUUUCUUGUGUGACCGCGUACUUUUUGUAGAACGGGCCAACGAGUUACGUUAAGUAGCAAGGUUAAGCACUUAAGGUGUGGAGCCGUAGCGAAAGCGAGUUUUAACUGAGCGUUCAGUUACUUGACGUAGACCCGAAACCGGGCGACCUACCCAUGAGCAGGAUGAAGCGAAAGUAAAAUUUCGUGGAGGUCCGAACCCACGAGCGUUGAAAAGCUCGGGGAUGACUUGUGGGUAGCGGUGAAAUUCCAAUCGAGCCCGGAGAUAGCUGGUUCUCCCCGAAAUAGCUUUAGGGCUAGCCUCAAGGUGAGAGAUACGGAGGUAGAGCACUGAAUGUCCUAGGGGGUAUUGCACCUACCGAAGACUAUCAAACUCCGAAUGCCGUCAUCUUAUACUUGGGAGUCAGACUGUGGGUGAUAAGAUUCAUAGUCGAAAGGGCAACAGCCCAGAUCGUCAGCUAAGGUCCCUAAAUGUAAGUUAAGUGGUAAAGGAUGUGGGAUUGCACAGACAACCAGGAUGUUGGCUUAGAAGCAGCCACUCAUUCAAAGAGUGCGUAAUAGCUCACUGGUCGAGUGAUCCUGCGCCGAAGAUUUCCGGGGCUAAAACUUACUACCGAAGCUACGGCAUCAGUAAUGAUGGGUAGGGGAGCUUCCCAUACGGGUUGAAGCAUGACCGUAAGGACAUGUGGACAGUAUGGGAGUGAGAAUGUUGGCAUGAGUAGCGAGAUGUGGGUGAGAAUCCCACAGGCCGUAAACCCAAGGUUUCCAGGGGAAGGUUCGUCCGCCCUGGGUUAGUCGGGACCUAAGCUGAGGCCGAAAGGCGUAGGUGAUGGACAACAGGUUGAUAUUCCUGUACUACCGAUAACCGUUUGAGAGAAGGGAUGACACAGUAGGAUAAGCUAAGCACACUGUUGGUUAUGUGUGCCCAAGCAUUGAGGCAGUCAAAGUAGGCAAAUCCGCUUUGAUAAUGCUGGGAUGUGAUGGGGAGCGAAAUUUAGUAGCGAAGUAGCUGAUUUCACACUGUCAAGAAAAGUCUCUAUCGAGGUUAAAGGUACCCGUACCGCAAACCGACACAGGUGGGUGAGGAGAGUAUCCUAAGGCCAGCGAGAGAACUGUUGUUAAGGAACUCGGCAAAAUGACCCCGUAACUUAGGGAUAAGGGGUGCCACCAUCAGGUGGCCGCAGAGAAUAGGCCCAAGCGACUGUUUACCAAAAACAUAGGUUUCUGCUAAGUCGCAAGACGAUGUAUAGGAGCUGACGCCUGCCCGGUGCUGGAAGGUUAAGGGGAUCUGUUAGAGCAAUCGAAGCAGUGAACUUAGCCCCAGUAAACGGCGGCCGUAACUAUAACGGUCCUAAGGUAGCGAAAUUCCUUGUCGGGUAAGUUCCGACCCGCACGAAAGGCGUAACGAUUUGGGCACUGUCUCAACAACAGACUCGGUGAAAUUGUAAUUCCGGUGAAGAUGCCGGAUACCUGCGACAGGACGGAAAGACCCCAUGGAGCUUUACUGUAGCUUGACAUUGGGUCUUGGUACUACAUGUACAGGAUAGGUGGGAGGCUUUGAAACCAGGACGCCAGUUUUGGCGGAGCCAUCCUUGGGAUACCACCCUUGUAGUACUGGGACUCUAACCAUAGGCCAUGAAUCUGGUCUUGGGACACUGUCAGGUGGGCAGUUUGACUGGGGCGGUCGCCUCCCAAAAGGUAACGGAGGCGCUCAAAGGUUCUCUCAGUACGGUCGGAAAUCGUACGUAGAGUGUAAAGGCAAAAGAGAGCUUGAUUGCAAGACAUACAGGUCGAGCAAGGAUGAAAAUCGGACUUAGUGAUCCGGUGGUUCUGCGUGGAAGGGCCAUCGCUCAACGGAUAAAAGCUACCCUGGGGAUAACAGGCUUAUCUCCCCCAAGAGUCCACAUCGACGGGGAGGUUUGGCACCUCGAUGUCGGCUCAUCACAUCCUGGGGCUGUAGUAGGUCCCAAGGGUUGGGCUGUUCGCCCAUUAAAGUGGUACGCGAGCUGGGUUCAGAACGUCGUGAGACAGUUCGGUCCCUAUCCGUCGCAGGCGUAGGAAAUUUGAGAAGACCUGUCCUUAGUACGAGAGGACCGGGAUGGACGUACCUCUGGUGUACCAGUUGUUCUGCCAAGGGCAUGGCUGGGUAGCUAUGUACGGAAUGGAUAAGCGCUGAAAGCAUCUAAGCGCGAAGCCAACUUCAAGAUAAGAUUUCCCACCGCAAGGGUAAGACCCCAGAAAGACUAUCUGGUUGAUAGGUCGAAGGUGUAAGUGCAGCAAUGUAUUUAGCUUAUCGAUACUAAUAGGUCGAGGACUUGACCAA